CCUACGGGGGGCUGCAGUGGGGAAUAUUGGACAAUGGGGGCAACCCUGAUCCAGCCAUGCCGCGUGUGUGAAGAAGGCCCUCGGGUUGUAAAGCACUUUCAGUGAGGAAGAACGCCUGGUGGUUAAUACCCAUCAGGAAAGACAUCACUCACAGAAGAAGCACCGGCUAACUCCGUGCCAGCAGCCGCGGUAAUACGGAGGGUGCGAGCGUUAAUCGGAAUUACUGGGCGUAAAGCGCGCGUAGGUGGCUUGAUAAGCCGGUUGUGAAAGCCCCGGGCUCAACCUGGGAACGGCAUCCGGAACUGUCAAGCUAGAGUGCAGGAGAGGAAGGUAGAAUUCCCGGUGUAGCGGUGAAAUGCGUAGAGAUCGGGAGGAAUGCCAGUGGCGAAGGCGGCCUUCUGGACUGACACUGACACUGAGGUGCGAAAGCGUGGGUAGCAAACAGGAUUAGAUACCCGGGUAGUC
rnacentral:rRNA from 1 species